GAUGAACGCUAGCGGCAGGCUUAACACAUGCAAGUCGAGGGGUAACGACGUUUUCGGACGGGCGACGACCGGCGCACGGGUGCGUAACGCGUAUGCAACCUACCUAUUACAGGGGGAUAGCCCCGAGAAAUCGGGAUUAAUACCGCAUAACAUAUUUGGAAGGCAUCUUUUAGAUAUUAAAGAUUUAUUGGUAAUAGAUGGGCAUGCGUAACAUUAGCUAGUUGGUAGAGUAACGGUUUACCAAGGCGAUGAUGUUUAGGGGUUCUGAGAGGAAUUUCCCCCACACUGGUACUGAGACACGGACCAGACUCCUACGGGAGGCAGCAGUGAGGAAUAUUGGUCAAUGGGCGAGAGCCUGAACCAGCCAUGCCGCGUGCAGGAAGACGGCCUUAUGGGUUGUAAACUGCUUUUAUAUAGGAGUAAUGGCACCUACGAGUUAGGUGUUUGCAAGUACUAUAUGAAUAAGCAUCGGCUAACUCCGUGCCAGCAGCCGCGGUAAUACGGAGGAUGCAAGCGUUAUCCGGAAUCAUUGGGUUUAAAGGGUUCGCAGGCGGCGUAUUAAGUCAGUGGUGAAAUACCGAGGCUCAACCUCGGGGCUGCCAUUGAUACUGAUAUGCUAGAGUAUAGUUGGCGUAGGCGGAAUAUUUCAUGUAGCGGUGAAAUGCAUAGAUAUGAAAUAGAACACCGAUCGCGCAGGCAGCUUACGAAGCUAUAACUGACGCUCAUGAACGAAAGCGUGGGUAGCGAACAGGAUUAGAUACCCUGGUAGUCCACGCAGUAAACGAUGAUUACUCGUUGUCGGCGAUACAAUGUCGGUGGCUAAGCGAAAGUGAUAAGUAAUCCACCUGGGGAGUACGAUCGCAAGGUUGAAACUCAAAGGAAUUGACGGGGGCCCGCACAAGCGGAGGAGCAUGUGGUUUAAUUCGAUGAUACGCGAGGAACCCUUACCCGGGCUUAAAUGUAGGAUGCAUUAUUUGGAGACAGAUAUUUCUUCGGACUUCCUACAAGGUGCUGCAUGGUUGUCGUCAGCUCGUGCCGUGAGGUGUCGGGUUAAGUCCCAUAACGAGCGCAACCCUUACCGUUAUUUGCCAUCAGGUUAAGCUGGGGACUAUAGCGGAACUGCCUACGCAAGUAGAGAGGAAGGUGGGGAUGACGUCAAAAUCAGCACGGCCCUUACGUCCGGGGCUACACACGUGCUACAAUGGUCGGUACAGAGGGCAGCAAACCUGGCGACAGGGAGCGAAUCUCGAAAAGCCGAAUCUCAGUUCGGAAUCGGAGUUCUGUAACUCGAACUCCGUGAAAGUUGGAUUCGCUAGUAAUCGCGCAUUCAGCCAUGGCGCGGGUGAAAUACGUUCCCGGGCCU
rnacentral:rRNA from 1 species